rnacentral:rRNA from 1 species
GAUGAACGCUGGCGGCGUGCCUAAUACAUGCAAGUCGAGCGAACAGACGAGGAGCUUGCUCCUCUGAUGUUAGCGGCGGACGGGUGAGUAACACGUGGAUAACCUACCUAUAAGACUGGGAUAACUUCGGGAAACCGGAGCUAAUACCGGAUAACAUGUUGAACCGCAUGGUUCAACAGUGAAAGACGGUCUUGCUGUCACUUAUAGAUGGAUCCGCGCCGCAUUAGCUAGUUGGUAAGGUAACGGCUUACCAAGGCAACGAUGCGUAGCCGACCUGAGAGGGUGAUCGGCCACACUGGAACUGAGACACGGUCCAGACUCCUACGGGAGGCAGCAGUAGGGAAUCUUCCGCAAUGGGCGAAAGCCUGACGGAGCAACGCCUCGUGAGUGAAGAAGGUCUUCGGAUCGUAAAACUCUGUUAUUAGGGAAGAACAAAUGUGUAAGUAACUAUGCACGUCUUGACGGUACCUAAUCAGAAAGCCACGGCUAACUACGUG